AAUGGUCAAUGGACGCAAGUCUGAACCAGCCAUGCCGCGUGCAGGAUGAAGGCCCUAUGGGUUGUAAACUGCUUUUAUACGGGAAGAAACCCCUGAUUGCGAUCAGGGCUGACGGUACCGUAAGAAUAAGGAUCGGCUAACUCCGUGCCAGCAGCCGCGGUAAUACGGAGGAUCCAAGCGUUAUCCGGAUUUAUUGGGUUUAAAGGGUGCGUAGGCGGAUUAGUAAGUCAGUGGUGAAAGCCUGCAGCUUAACUGCAGAAUUGCCGUUGAUACUGCUAAUCUUGAGUAUAGUUGAGGUGGGCGGAAUGUGUCAUGUAGCGGUGAAAUGCUUAGAUAUGACACAGAACACCGAUUGCGAAGGCAGCUCGCUAAACUGUAACUGACGCUGAGGCACGAAAGCGUGGGUAGCAAACAGGAUUAGAUACCCUGGUAGUCCACGCCUUAAACGAUGAUUACUCGAUGUGUGCGAUACACUGUACGCGUCUAAGCGAAAGCAUUAAGUAAUCCACCUGGGGAAUACGGUCGCAAGAUUG
rnacentral:rRNA from 1 species